GUUGCCAUCAUUCAGUUGGGCACUCUAGCGAGACUGCCGGUAAUAAACCGGAGGAAAGUGGGGAUGACGUCAAAUCAUCAUGCCCCUUAUGACCUGGGCUACACACGUGCUACAAUGGUUGGUACAACGAGUUGCGAGUCGGUGACGGCGAGCUAAUCUCUUAAAGCCAAUCUCAGUUCGGAUUGUAGGCUGCAACUCGCCUACAUGAAGUCGGAAUCGCUAGUAAUCGCGGAUCAGCACGCCGCGGUGAAUACGUUCCCGGGCCUU
rnacentral:rRNA from 1 species